AUCGACUUUUCCGGCCUCGGCUGGGCGCUGUCCACCACUUGCAACGCCUGAAACCUCAUCCAGCUCGGGUGGCUGGGGCUUCUACUGGGCUCCGAGUCCGCCACUGCUGAUUACAGACUUCUGAAGUUUUAAAACGUCCCCCCUCGGGAGAAAAGGGUGGCGCGGCUUGCAUUUACAGAUCUGCAAGGGCUCCAGACAGAUGCAACAUGCACCUUGUUGCAAAGAGCAAUUCCCCAGGCCCCGCCUCCCCAUCAAUUUGGGUUGCACAAGCUCAAGAGAAGCCCCAAGCUAAAUUACCCUUGGCUCAGAAGGGUGCGGUGAACCGAGGGGGCCUCUGCGAAGAAAGCCCCAGGGAGCUCUCCAACAAAAAUAAGAACAUGUCAAGCAGAUGGGAAAAUUGUCUCCGAGUCGCUACUCCCUACCAUCAUGGCGCCGCCUAGAACCCGCUUGUCAUGCCUGUUACACAUGCAAGAUUUUUUGCAUCUUGGUUCUGAAACCGCAAGCAUGCUUCGUCUCCCACUCCCACCUUCCCACGAAAAGGGUUUUUAUUUUCCAUUGUUUCCCUACGCGAUGCAAUUAUUUCGGCUAUUCUGUCAAGUUGAAAAAUAAUCAUUUUUGUUUACUGCACAGCAACCCCUAAUUAGGAGCUGUGUGUGCACGAAGGUGUCACAGCAAAGCGACGUGGAAUCUUCGCUAAACGGUCUUAACGAACUCCUCCGUCUCGAACUGACAGGCCAACCGAAACAGGAGGCCCGGAGGGCGCACACCCCUUCGCUGCCGGCCACCCCCUCCCCAAGCAAAGCUGCCUGUGGGCUCACCAGGAACUGCCGAAUGGAUAGGGCAAGAAGCGAGCCUGCAAGUGGAAAGGAGGGGCGAAGCUCCUUAUUGAGAAAGUGUGGAAGGGAAGGAAUAUCCCAUUUUGUUUUAAUUUUCAACCAUCACUCAAAUCCACCCCCAGUUAAUUAGGAGGGGAAACUGAUAGCUAAGGCAGAAGGGGGCGGCGGCAAGUGGGGCCUGAAAUCCGCAUUGUGGGUAGAUUACAUGGAACACGGCCUAUGCAGAGUGUAAAUAAAUACACUGAUAAAGGCCACGAAGCGAACGAAAACUGCGGGUGUCAGGAGAGCAAUGCUGGGAGGGUGGGAGAGGAGCUGGGGGCAGCAAGGGGCGGACAUUCAGCCUCACAGGCAGCUUCCCUCCCCCUUCCACCUCUACUUAUCCACAGUUUGGAUAAAACUGUGCCCGUCACCUACGUUUGGAAACCCACUCCUUCCCCUAGCACACGACACCUCCCCUAACCCUGGCCCUCUUUUUUUUCGGGGGGGGGGGGUGCCAGGGGAUGUAGAAACCACAGCCUCCAAUUCAGCACCAAAAGCAUGAACAGCAGACACUUGAUCCUCCACCCCAGUCUAGGGCUGGGUCCCCUCCAUGUUAGCCAAGUUCAAAAUCACUGCCCCAGGAAAAGAGCAGGGGGAAGUGGGAUUACGGACCUUGGGGGAUAGGGAGGUAUGGAGGGAAGAGGAGAAAGAAAUAGAGACAGAAUGAAACAGAGACACAGACAGAAAUGGAGGCAGUGAGACACAGAAAAUAUUCCACAAGCAAGAGUAAUGAUCAUAAUCAUGCCAAUAGUGUGAUGUUCUGAUCAAUAUGGCGGACACUGUCAUUCAUACAACUACAGGCGCUCCCCUUCCCCCUCCCAAAAAACACCCACCCAGGAGUUGGGGUGGAGGACCCAGAACCAACGUAGGGAGUGGGGGAGGGGAGUCAAAUAUAGGGGUAUGUGUGUGUGUGUGUGUGUGUGUGUGAACGAAUUAAAAAACAGGCCUGGAGAGCAAUGUGGAGUAAGCAAGGUAAUAAAAACGAUUUAAAAAUUAUUCUUAAUAAAAGUACAAAUCCCAAUGCCACAGGGACUUACUUC
rnacentral:antisense_RNA from 1 species